rnacentral:RNase_P_RNA from 1 species
AGAGUCGCCCGGAUCACCGCGUCAUAGAAAUAUGCCGAGGAAAGUCCGGACUCCAUAGAGCAAGGUGGUGGGUAACGCCCACCCGGAGCAAUCCGCGGGAAUAGUGCCACAGAAAAUAAACCGCUCGUUAGCAAUAACGAGUAAGGGUGAAACGGUGGUGUAAGAGACCACCAGCAUGUACGGCAACGUAUGUGGCUAGGCAAACCCCACUUGGAGCAAGACCAGACAGGUAGUGCUUGAGAACUGCUCGUUCGAGCUACCGGGUAGGUCGCUUGAUUCGGCGAGUAAUUGCCGAACUAGAUGGAUGGUGAUCCGACCUUGUUGCGAAAGCAGCGAGGACGACAGGAUCCGGCUUAUAGGGCGACUCUUCUA